rnacentral:lncRNA from 1 species
GGAUUUUAGAAAUUACACAAUUGUAGACUUUUUGAAAUCAAUGAGCUCAUAUGCCUCAUUUUACAGUUAAGAAGUUAAAUGACUUGCCUCAGGCACACAUCUGGUGAGAAACCGAGCGCGGCUUGCUCUUGAUACCCAGGCUGGAUACCAGGCUGAUCGUGCACCUUCGAGUCUUCCUUCCGCAGACUCUUUUGACUAAUCCAGCAACCGAGCAUCUGGCAAGGCUGAUGUAGAGAGAGAUCUACUUAGAACAAAGGUCAUGAAGGGCCAGAUUCAGUUCAUCACCUUUUUUUGGGUUUACUGGGUUUCUGGAAAAGGAGCCAAGACUUCUGAAGGGAGGAGAAGGGAAGAACAAAACAGCUCCAGGAAAGAAUGUUCCUCUCUCAUUUCUUUUUUUUUUCUCUCCAUCAUGCAAAAAGGUAAGAACAAUACCAGCCAGCCAAAAGCUCAUUCAUGCACUUGACCUUCCAAAAGAAAAUUAAUUUCCAACUUCACACCUACCGGCUGUGCUGCUCAGCUUUGUCAAAAUGCUGGCAUCAUUAGAGAGGAGAUGACAUGGCUUGAGGGGACAAAGA